rnacentral:lncRNA from 1 species
UUUAAUUAAUUAUUCAACUAUUUAUUUGCUCAAACAGAAAUUUUGCAUUUUGAUUGAUGCUUGAUCGGUAUAGUUUUAAUCAGUCUUUUCCCCAUUUUGAACUGAAUGCAAUCAUUGGGAUUGUGAAGUUUUUAUGGUAAUUUUAGUCAACUUCUUUGAAAAAAACAAAAGUGGAAUUAACUACAAAGAAAUUCAGUUUUGUUGGGGCGUGAAAUUGGAAUUGUAGAAGAUUUAUUUUAAUAUUUGAUUUGAUUUUAAUUUCAAGGUGAUGAAUUCCAUCCCUUGAUCUGCCUUUAAUUCAUUUAUUUGUAAUUUACAAAUACUUAUAUAUGAUACAAGCAAGGGCAAACCCACCUUUGAUACCAUUCUCUUGAUUUUGGAAGGAAAUGAAAUAUAAUAUAUCCAGGCAGGAUCGUUCAUCUUAUUUAGAAAUUGACUACCCACAUCAUAAUAUGCUUUUAGAAAAAAAAAAAAAAAAAAGAUUUUUAAAUUGGGUGAAUGAAAUUGAUUAGAUUUAGCUUCGGGUCGAUUCAAUUUUGGUUGCUGGUUCUGAAUUGAUUCGAAGUGCCUCCUUUUAAAGUGCAUAUUAUUUAUAAUAGUUCCUUUAGGUGGUAAAUUAUGGUGGAUGACAUGUUACAUCUAAACAUUGUCCGAUCUAUUUCAUUGCUUAUUGUUUUUAAAUAUAUCAUUGUAAAAACUAUCUUUCUUUCUUUGUAUUUUGAAUCAUUAAUGAUGAAGUAUUAUGUUCUCAUGUUUAUUUUCGCCUAAUUUUUUAUUUUAUUGUUUUUCAAUAGAGUAGACAAUUUUGAUUAUUAGUUAAAAUAUCUUGUAGGGGUUGUACAAAUAGUUUUAGAUAACAGAGUUUCUUUCAAUUGAAAUUGCAAUAAGGUAAGUUCGUAAAUUCAAGUACUCCAUCUUCAAGUUGUUUGACAGUAUAAAAUCUUUAAUGAUAUUAUAAACAGUUGUUCUAGGUAUGAAGCCUAGGCGUCAAAUUCGUGGGUUGGGAGAUGGUCGCCUUUGAGACAAAGGGGCAUCAUCUUCUAUUGUACUGAGUUUGGAUAAGGAGUUAGAAGCAGAACGUGCUGCUCGAAAGGCUCGAGUGAAGAUGGAGCAAAGGAUGCAGAAAAAGCUGAAGUUUGUUGAGCAACAAUUUAAUUUUACAUUGCAGUCUUGGCAUCAUUCUAUACACCAGCUAUGUGGUAAAGCUCCUGCUUCAGUGUACCAUCAUUUACACCAUUGUCAAUACAGAAUAAUGCUAAUAAGGAAGAUGAUGCAAUUGAAUACGAAGGGAAUAACUUUGUCAAAAAUCAGCUACAUAUCUAAUUUAUGAGGAUGAAGAGUUAUAUUUUAAGGUGCAUAAUAAUAGAUGCAGAGCAUAUUGGUCUUAAAUGUAGACGUAACCAUAUUUGGUGAAUGAUUUUUAUCUUUAUUUUGGUGAAAUAUUUUGGAUUUAAUUAAG